GAAACUAACAAGGAUUCCCCUAGUAAUGGCGAAUGAAGAGGGAAAAGCCCAAAUUUGUAAUCUGGCUCUUUAAGAGUCAGAGUUGUAAUUUUGAGAACUGUUUUCAGUGCUGGCUCUGUUUAUAAGUCUGUUGGAAAGCAGCAUCAUAGAAGGUGAAAAUCCUGUGUGUGAUGCAGAAGUGGAGUGCUAUAUGAUACAGUUUCUAAGAGUCAAGUUGUUUGGGAUUGCAGCUUAAAGUGGGUGGUAAAUUCCAUCUAAGGCUAAAUACAGGUGAGAGACCGAUAGCAAACAAGUACCGUGAGGGAAAGAUGAAAAGAACUUUGGAAAGAGAGUUAACAGUAUGUGAAAUUGUUAAAAGGGAAACAUUUGAAGUUAGUCUUGCUUUUGUGGGCUCAGCUUCUCUAUGCAGAGGUGUACUCCAGACUUAAGCAGACCAACAUCAAUUCCUAAGUGUGUUGGAUAAGGGUUAAGGGGAUGUAGCAGUCUCACAAGGACUGUGUUAUAAAC
rnacentral:rRNA from 1 species